rnacentral:lncRNA from 1 species
AGAGGUGAAGAUACGCAGGACGUCCUCUAAAGCAACUUCCGUGGGUGCCAGGUUGUGGGCUGGGGGCGGUGCUGACCUUGAGAGAGCGGAGGAGGCGCAGGCGCAGCACAGUUUAAACUUGAUUUUGUGAGGGGACGAACAGCGUGACAAUUAAAAGAAGAUCUGGGAAUCAAAAGCUUCCUGAGGCCUUCACCAGAAGCAGAUGCUGGUGCCGUGCUUCUACAGCCUGCAGAACUGAAGGACUUUACAGCUUCUCUUUCGCAUAUCCAAAUUGCCAGCAUCACCGCUCUUGCACUCCAAGCCAUUAUUAAGUAAAGUAAAGAACACAAACACUGUGAUACUGCUACACUUGAUCUGAUAACCAAGAAGUCUACUAAGUGACUAACAGAGCAACUGGGAACCUAAUUCUGACCAAAAAGGAGGAAUUGUUUGGCUAAUUGGAAGUGACAGAAACCUUGGGAGAAAGCAACCGCAUACCAAGGAUAAUUAUAAGAAGAAGAGAAGACAUGGAGAAGAGGAGGGAGUAGUUGUGACCGUGGAGGCAGAGAAUGGAGUAAUGUGAUCAUAAAUCAAGGAAUGCUGACAGCCACUAAAGCUGGAGAAGGCCAAGGACAGAUAUUCAAUCCUCCCGUAGAAGUACAGCCCUGCUAAUGCAUUGAUUUUGGACUUCUGGCCUCAGAACUGUCUGGAAAGCAUGGAAAUUUGUAUCUUCAUUCACUUUUGUUUUCAUGGACUCUUUUCAUGUUUGAACUUUUCAUGGUAUGAGCUGUUUUAUAAUCUAUAAUAUGGAAUGUUUCUCAUACGAAUGUUUUUCUUAUUGAAGAAUGCCAUAGAAAUAAGGGUGUGAGGUAUACUUACUUGACAGGAGAAUUUUACUCCUUUUAUUUUAUUUACUUAUUUAUUUUUAAGACGGAGUCCUGCUGUGUUGUCCAGGCUGGUCUUGAACCCCUGGACUCAAACGAUCUUUCUCCUUGGCCUCCCAAAGUUCUGGGAUUACAGGUAUGAGCUACAGUGCCCUGAGAGUCCUUUUUAAAGUAGUGAAUGCUCAAACAUGGAAUUAAAUUUAGGCAAAGCUC